GAUGAACGCUGGCGGCGUGCCUAAUACAUGCAAGUCGAGCGAACAGAUAAGGAGCUUGCUCCUUUGACGUUAGCGGCGGACGGGUGAGUAACACGUGGGUAACCUACCUAUAAGACUGGAAUAACUCCGGGAAACCGGGGCUAAUGCCGGAUAAUAUUUAGAACCGCAUGGUUCUAAAGUGAAAGAUGGUUUUGCUAUCACUUAUAGAUGGACCCGCGCCGUAUUAGCUAGUUGGUAAGGUAACGGCUUACCAAGGCAACGAUACGUAGCCGACCUGAGAGGGUGAUCGGCCACACUGGAACUGAGACACGGUCCAGACUCCUACGGGAGGCAGCAGUAGGGAAUCUUCCGCAAAGGGCGAAAGCCUGACGGAGCAACGCCGCGUGAGUGAUGAAGGUCUUCGGAUCGUAAAACUCUGUUAUUAGGGAAGAACAAAUGUGUAAGUAACUGUGCACGUCUUGACGGUACCUAAUCAGAAAGCCACGGCUAACUACGUG
rnacentral:rRNA from 1 species